rnacentral:rRNA from 1 species
UACGUAGGGUGCACGCGUUGUCCGGAAUUAUUGGGCGUAAAGAGCUUGUAGGCGGUUUGUCGCGUCUGCUGUGAAAUUUCGGGGCUCAACCCCGAACUUGCAGUGGGUACGGGCAGACUAGAGUGUGGUAGGGGAGACUGGAAUUCCUGGUGUAGCGGUGAAAUGCGCAGAUAUCAGGAGGAACACCGGUGGCGAAGGCGGGUCUCUGGGCCGAUACUGACGCUGAGGAGCGAAAGCGUGGGGAGCGAACAGG